rnacentral:rRNA from 1 species
ACGGGUGAGUAACGCGUGGCCAAUCUGCCCUGUACACACGGAUAACAUACCAAAGGGAUACUAAUACGGGAUAACAUAUGAAAGUCGAAUGUUUUUUGUCCACAGCUCCGGCGGUACAGGAUGGACCCGCGUCUGAUUAACUAGUUGGUACGGUAAUGGCUUACCAAGGCAACGAUCAGUGGCCGACCUGAGAGGGUGAUCGGCCACACUGUAACUGAGACACGGUCCACACUCCUACGGGAGGCCGCAGUGGGGAAUAUUGCACAAUGGGCGAAAGCCUGAUGCCGCAACGCCCCGUGAUCGAAGAAAGCCUUCGGGUCGUAAAGCUCUGUCCUCAAGGAACAUAAUGACGGUUCUUGAGGAGGAAGCCCCGGCUAACUACGUGCCAGCACCCGCGGUAAUACGUAGGGGGCUAGCGUUAUCCGGAAUUACUGGGCGUAAAGGGUGCGUAGGUGGUUUUUUAAGUCAGAAGUGAAAGGCUACGGCUCAACCGGAGUAAGCUUUUGAAACUAGAGAACUUGAGUGCUCGAGAGGAUAGUACAAUUCCUAGUGUAGCGAUGAAAUGCGUAUAUAUGAGGAAGA